GACGAACGCUGGCGGCGUGCUUAACACAUGCGAGUCGAACGGAAAGGCCCUGCUUUUGUGGGGUGCUCGAGUGGCGAACGGGUGAGUAACACGUGAGUAACCUGCCCUUGACUUUGGGAUAACUUCAGGAAACUGGGGCUAAUACCGGAUAGGAGCUCCUGCUGCAUGGUGGGGGUUGGAAAGUUUCGGCGGUUGGGGAUGGACUCGCGGCUUAUCAGCUUGUUGGUGGGGUAGUGGCUUACCAAGGCUUUGACGGGUAGCCGGCCUGAGAGGGUGACCGGCCACAAUGGGACUGAGAUACGGCCCAGACUCCUACGGGAGGCAGCAGUGGGGAAUAUUGCACAAUGGGCGGAAGCCUGAUGCAGCAACGCCGCGUGCGGGAUGACGGCCUUCGGGUUGUAAACCGCUUUCGCCUGUGACGAAGCGUGAGUGACGGUAAUGGGUAAAGAAGCACCGGCUAACUACGUG
rnacentral:rRNA from 1 species